AUUUAAAUUUUUAUUUAAAUUAUUAAUUAGUAAAUGAUUAAAUAAAGAAAUUUUAAUUUUAUUAACAUUUAAGAAAAAAUAUUUAUAAUUAUAGAUAAUUAAGUAUUGUGAAAGAAAAUAUUUAAAUAUUUAAAAGAAAAAUUUAAAUUUUGUACCUUGUGUAUCAGGGUUAAUUAAAAUUAAAUAAAAAAUUUUAUUAUCUCGAAUUUAAAAGAGUUAAUUAAUUAUAUAUUUUAUUGUAAAAUAAAUAUUUAUAAUUUUUAAUUGGAAAUGAAAUGUUAUUCGUUUUUAAAUAUAUCUAGUUUUUGAAGAAAAAAAUUUAAUUUUAUUAUUAAUAAUUAAAAUUUUAAUUUAUUAAUUUUUUAUUAUUAAUAUUAACUUUUUUUAGGGAUAAGCUUAAAUUAAGAUAAUUAUAAUAUAUAAUUUAUUAAAAUAAUUUAUAGGAUUAUAAAUUUCUAUAAAUAAAAAAAUGUUAUAAUUAAUUAUUAGUAUUUUAGUAUUUUUAUUUUAUUUAAAUAUUUUAUUCAAAUAUAAAAUUAAAUAUAAUAAUUUUAGUAAUAAUGAUUAAAUUAGUAUAUUAUUUUGUAAUUUUAAAUUUUAAAAUUUAAGGUUAAUUUAAGGAAUUCGGCAAAUUUAUUUUUCACCUGUUUAAUAAAAACAUGUCCUUUUGAUUAUAAUUUAAGGUCUAAUCUGCCCACUGAGAAUUUAAAUGGCCGCGGUAUUUUGACCGUGCAAAGGUAGCAUAAUAAUUAGUUUUUUAAUUGAAAGCUGGAAUGAAAGAUUGGAUGAGAAAAUAGCUGUCUCAAGUUAAAUUUAAUAUAAUUUUAUUUUUAAGUUAAAAAGCUUAAAUAAUUUUAAAAGACGAGAAGACCCUAUAGAGUUUUAUAAUUAAUAAUAAUUUAAAUUAUUUGUUUUAAAUAUUUAGAUGAAUAUUAAUUAUUUUGUUGGGGUGACAAAAAAAUUUAAUUAACUUUUUUUUUAUUUAAAUACAAAUAUGUAAUUUUUUGAUCCAAAAUUUUUGAUUAUAAGAUAAAAUUACCUUAGGGAUAACAGCGUAAUUUUUUUUGAGAGUUCUUAUCGAAAAAAAAGAUUGCGACCUCGAUGUUGGAUUAAAGUUAAAAUUUGGUGUAGAAGCUAAAUAUUUAGGUCUGUUCGACCUUUAAAACUUUACAUGAUCUGAGUUUAAACCGGUGUGAGCCAGGUUGGUUUCUAUCUUUAAUAAAUUAAAAUAUUUUAGUACGAAAGGACCAAGUAUUUAUUAAAUUAAUUUUAUUUUGAAUAUUAUU
rnacentral:rRNA from 1 species